AGAAAUCUCCCUUUUAUAAGGUGUUGGUUCUAAUACAUUUCUCCUGGUUUUUUAAAAAUUUAUUAUGUUAAUAGGAAUUCUUUGUCUUGUAUAUAAGGCCUUCAUUUGUGUUGCAAAUUGCCUAGGAAUUAAUAAUUUUAAUAUAGUCUAUUUCCAUCUCUUGUAUACCUAUACAAAAUCUUUUCCUCACUUGAAGCCAUGAUGAUAGUCUGCUGUGUUUUCCAGAAAAUGUAUUGUUCUACUUUUUAUACUUAGCUUUGCAGUCCACCU
rnacentral:lncRNA from 1 species